CAACGACGCCAUUAUCAGCACCCCCUGCCGGCGCCUCCGGCGCAGCCCGCGCAGGAUAUUUUGAAAAGCGCCGGAGAGCUAGGUGAAGAGCUGGGCUCCCAAGGGGGUGAUAGAACCAGCCCGCGGCCCGGCCUCCUCCUCCCGCUUCCCAUUCGCAGCCCGCCUCCCGCCGGGAAGCGGCCCGGCUGCUGCAGAACGGCCGCGCCUGCCCUCCCGGUUUCUCCCGUCCAGUCUUCACCGUCCUUUCCCAGAGAAAGCGACAGCACAGCCUAUGACAACCGAAGCUAAAACGGAAAAACUGGGCCGGGCGCAAGAGGAAACCAGAGCCAUUCGACUAUUGCUAGAGGAGAGGAAUAGCUGCAGGAAAACAUGCGCAAAAUAGCACAAACAUUGCGUCGUCAAGGCUGCAAUGUCUAAUACAAAAUAGAAGGUUCUCAUAGCAACAAAAACGUGCCCAUGUUGUGCUCAGUAUUACAUGCGUUAAAAUGUUCUUAGUUGUGAAAUUUGACAUGACCGCUAGUUAAAGUUACAAUGGAAGUUUUAAAUCCCGCUUUCCGAAAACUUUGCAGCUAUAGCAUGAAGUUAAAUUUUUGUCUUAUUUUCUGGAUAAGUUUACUAUACUGGAACAUAGUAAAGCUCUUUUUAUAAAGAGCUUUGAAUAAAAUACCUAAUGAUGUGGUUGAAACGAACACCUAUUUUCAAAACUAAUCUUAAGUGGUAUUUCAGUGCAUAUGUUAUGUAAAAGCAAUUUAUAAACUAAAUUUUAAGAGCCUUCAAAAUACAAGGUACUCGUAUUUAAUGACUUAACAGUUUUAAUGCUUUUAUUGUUUCUAUAAUCUCUCAGGAAAUCCUAAAACUGACUAUAUUUUUCUUUAUUAAAAUAACUUUUUCUGUAGAAGAUACCCAUUUGGCGCUGUGAUCAGCAUUCUACUUGAAAUUGAAUAUAAACAACUGAAUCAUUACAAAAUGGCUCAUGUUAGAAGAUACUUAAAACGAAUACAAUCUUGUACAGUAAAUGUUUAACACCCCAAAAUAACGAAAAGUAAUUAUUAGCAUUCAUUUAUAUCUAAAUCUCAGUCAAUAUGAUCUAAAUAUUUGUGUUUAAAGACUCCCCCUUUCCAUAUAGAUAAUGAAGGGCUUUGAAAUAAGUGUAGGAAACCCUAAGUUUGGUCUCAGGCUUCCUAUUCAUUCACUAUGCUUUUUCGUGUGCUGUUUACAGUUUCCUUUUUCUGGAAUGCCUUUCCCUGCUUUUUUCCCCCGCCAACAUUUCAGCUUCCCACAGACACACAUUUGUGCCCUCCUGGUUGUCCUGCAGGAUGACCUUUGUUUUUGUUUUUGUCUUUUGUUUUUCGAGACAGGGUCUCGCUCUGUCGUCCAGGAUGGAGUGCAGUGGUGUGAUCUCUGCUCACUGCAACUUCCGCCUCCCGGUCUCAAGUGACCCUCCCACCGCAACCUCCCAAGUAGCUGGGAGGAGCGGCGCGCGCCACCAUGUCUGGCUAGUUUUUGUAUUUUUUGUAGAGACAGAGUUUCCCCAUGUUGCCCAGGCUGCUCUCAAACUCCUGAGCUCAAGCGAUCUGCCGCCUGCCUGGCCCUCCCAAAGUUCUGGGAUUACAGGUGUGAGCCACUGUGCCUGGCCAGGAUGACCUUUUUGAAGUCACCUAGUCAUUGAAGCUUUCCCUCUCAGCCUUUUCCUCUGUGGCCCCAUGCUUAUAGAGCCUCCCACAUUGAUUUGCAGUGCCUUCGUUCGUUCACUUUAUUUCCACCUACCAAACAGUAAGAUCUUGAAGACAGAAACGGCAUUAUUCGUUUAUAUAUCCCCGGUAUCUAGUACAAUUUUUCUGUUUGCAAUAAUAAAUGUCUUAAAACUUAAGAAAGGAGUAAGUCUUCUCAAUGACUUUUUUUAAAAAAGACCCAGAUUCAGCACUUAUUGUAUGUAAGACAGACCUUCCUUUUACAUUACAUUUUUCAUCAGUAAAAGUACUGGGCCAGGCGCGGUGGCUCACGCAUAAUCUCAGCACUUUGGGAGGCUGAAGCGGGUGGAUCACUUCAGGUCAUGAGUUAAAGACCCACCUGGCCAACAUGGUAAAACCCCAUCUCUACUAAAAAUAGAAAAAUUAGCCGAAUGUGGUGGCUCACGCCUGUAAUCCCAGCUACUCGGGAGGCUGAGACAGAAGAAUCGCUUGAACCCAGGAGGCAGAGGUUGCAGUGAGCCGAGAUCCGCCACUGCACUCCAGCCCAGAUGACAGAGCAAGACUCCAUCCCCAAAAAAAGAAUAUAUUUUGCGGCCGGGCACGGUGGCUCAUGCCUGUAUACCCAGCACUUUGGGAGGCCGAGGUGGGCAGAUCACGAGGCCAGGAGUUCGAGACCAACCUGGCCAAUAUGGUGUAACCCCGUCUCUACUAAAAGUACAAACAUUAGAGUUUUCACGAGGCGCAAUAGAUGUAACUGAAAGCUUCGAGAAGUUUAAAGGACUUGCAAGGAAAUCUACUGAAAUAAGCCCCAUUCCACCUGGGCAGAAGCACUCAGACGCCAAACCCCACCUUCUGUCCUGAAAUUCACCUUCCACUAGGAGAGUUUGCUUUUCUAAUGCUUCAAAUGCACAACGGGAGAUGUUCUGACUUCAGGGUUUCUACCCUUCACUGCUGUAAUCUGCUGCCUGUAUGACAUGCGAUCUGGUUUACACCGUACAGCUUAUCAUCUUCAGCUUGUGGCCCCUUCCUUGUUUCCACCUUGCUAUUCAGGAGGGCCUGUAAGGGUAUCUGGAUUCCUUGAGCUGUAGAUGCAGGACAGUGAGAGGGAGGGAGGUAGUUCUCUGGUCUAAUUUCAGUUUCCUAACUGAGGGUACAUGCCUUCCCUGAAUGAUCAUCAUCAAAAAUAUCCAGCCCUUCAUGGAAGACACCACCCCUCCUCAUAGAUGAGUCCCUGAGCUUAUGAUCUCAAAAGGAAAUCCUUAUCAGAAUACAACAGAAUAAGGACAUAGUUUCAUUACAGUUAUAAUAAUAAAAGUAGUUCUUCUUUAUUA
rnacentral:lncRNA from 1 species